rnacentral:rRNA from 1 species
UACAGAGGGUGCAAACGUUGCUCGGAAUGAUUGGGCGUAAAGCGCGUGUAGGCGGCCGAUUAUGCCGGUUGUGAAAGCCCGUGGCUCAACCACGGAAGUGCAGUCGGAACUGAUCGGCUAGAGUACCGAAGAGGGUGGCGGAAUGCCCAGUGUAGAGGUGAAAUUCGUAGAUAUUGGGUAGAACACCGGUGGCGAAGGUGGCCAGCUGGGAGGUCCCUGACGCUGAGACGCGAAAGCGUGGGGAGCAAACAGG